AGAGUUUGAUCAUGGCUCAGAUUGAACGCUGGCGGCAUGCUUUACACAUGCAAGUCGAACGGCAGCACGGGCUUCGGCCUGGUGGCGAGUGGCGAACGGGUGAGUAAUACAUCGGAACGUACCCAGAAGUGGGGGAUAACGCAGCGAAAGUUGCGCUAAUACCGCAUACGUUCUACGGAAGAAAGUGGGGGAUCUUCGGACCUCAUGCUUUUGGAGCGGCCGAUGUCUGAUUAGCUAGUUGGUGGGGUAAAGGCUCACCAAGGCGACGAUCAGUAGCUGGUCUGAGAGGACGACCAGCCACACUGGGACUGAGACACGGUCCAGACUCCUACGGGAGGCAGCAGUGGGGAAUUUUGGACAAUGGGCGCAAGCCUGAUCCAGCAAUGCCGCGUGAGUGAAGAAGGCCUUCGGGUUGUAAAGCUCUUUUGUCAGGGAAGAAACGGUUCCGGCUAAUAUCUGGAGCUAAUGACGGUACCUGAAGAAUAAGCACCGGCUAACUACGUGCCAGCAGCCGCGGUAAUACGUAGGGUGCAAGCGUUAAUCGGAAUUACUGGGCGUAAAGCGUGCGCAGGCGGUUUUGUAAGUCUGUCGUGAAAGCCCCGGGCUCAACCUGGGAAUUGCGAUGGAGACUGCAAGGCUUGAAUCUGGCAGAGGGGGGUAGAAUUCCACGUGUAGCAGUGAAAUGCGUAGAGAUGUGGAGGAACACCGAUGGCGAAGGCAGCCCCCUGGGUCAAGAUUGACGCUCAUGCACGAAAGCGUGGGGAGCAAACAGGAUUAGAUACCCUGGUAGUCC
rnacentral:rRNA from 1 species